AAAAAAAAAAAAAAAAAAAAAAACAUAAGUCUCUCCUGUCUUGGUUUCUGUAAUAAUUCUAGCAGAGUCCACACAAGAAGAAAAGUAUCUGCACUAGAUCCAACGAUGGGGUGGACCUCUUUCUUAAUGUCCAGUGUCCUUUGUCUUUUAAAAUUUGGUGCUAUAUGC
rfam:Dipodomys ordii contig_21948, whole genome shotgun sequence.